GGUAAGGUGGCCGAGCAUAGGUGUCAGGCUGUAGUCCUGUUUACAGGGGCUUAAUUCCCUUUCUUACC
rnacentral:tRNA from 1 species